GGAGAGAUGGCUCAGUGGUUAAGAGCAAUGACUGCUCUUCCAGAGGUCCUGAGUUCAAGUCCCAGCAACCACA
rnacentral:tRNA from 1 species